rnacentral:rRNA from 1 species
UGGGGAAUUUUGGACAAUGGGGGCAACCCUGAUCCAGCCAUGCCGCGUGCGGGAAGAAGGCCUUCGGGUUGUAAACCGCUUUUGGUCGGGAAGAAAGGGUUCGGGUUAACACCCUGGACUGUUGACGGUACCGGCAGAAUAAGCACCGGCUAACUACGUGCCAGCAGCCGCGGUAAUACGUAGGGUGCGAGCGUUAAUCGGAAUUACUGGGCGUAAAGCGUGCGCAGGCGGUAAGUUAAGUCUGAUGUGAAAGCCCCGGGCUCAACCUGGGAACGGCAUUGGAAACUGGCUUGCUAGAGUGUGGCAGAGGGGGGUGGAAUUCCGCGUGUAGCAGUGAAAUGCGUAGAGAUGCGGAGGAACACCGAUGGCGAAGGCAGCCCCCUGGGCCAACACUGACGCUCAGGCACGAAAGCGUGGGGAGCAAACA